rnacentral:tmRNA from 1 species
GGUUUAUAAUAAAAUUGUUGGUUUACCAACUAUGGUAAUAAAUGCUUAUCAUAAUAGACUAUACGGACCCGGGGGCAGUACCCGGCGGCUCCACCAAAAAAACCUUUUGGGGCUGAAAUAGGAUCGACGUUAGUUAAAAGGAUUAAGACUUUACUCGGUAUGGUACCACCGUUAUCGGGCUAAAUUAUAAACGCUAACAAUAAUAAAUUAGCACUCGCUGCCUAGUUUCUAGGAUAGCGCGGUUUGGGGCACCGGGCAACAGAACGCCCCUUAACCAACGGAAACCGUUA